GCCAGCGGUGAGGUUGAAUCCACUGGUUCCCAUUGGUUUACUGAAGUUAAGCAACGUUGUGCAUGGUUGGUUUUCGGAUGGGUGACCAUCUAGGCAAUCGCGUGCCACUGGCU
rnacentral:rRNA from 1 species